rnacentral:sRNA from 1 species
UUCUGAAGAAUAAAGCCCAAUCGGUUGGGCCUGCAUCUUUUUGUUUUUUCUGCAACUUUAUCGUUUUCUAGUUUGAAUAAGUCACCACCUAUGUAGGAGAAAGAAUCGUGACAUUAGUUUAGUUGCAGAGUUUCGUAGCUUCAGUUGCUUUCUUUGUAAGGUCAAUUUAUUGAGCAAUCUGAAUUUAAUGCAAGUAAGAGUUUUCAGUACUUGUUCUUGCAAAUCUCUGUUUUUCCUUAAAGUGAGAUUUGAUAAAACAA